rnacentral:sRNA from 1 species
UUAACAGUCCUGGAGCCUGGAGUUCUGCUCAGCCAUAACAGAGCGCUGAAGCUGACAGCAGGGUGGAAUUGUACAUGCUGCUCACCUUAUGCUCCUUAAUUGGGCUCAGCAGAGACCAUAUCUAAGGAUAGAGGUAGUUUUGUUUUCACGCUAAUUUAAUCCCUGGCUACU